rnacentral:lncRNA from 1 species
UGAAGAAGGAAUUGACUUUAGGCCAAGUUGUCAGGAACUGGUUUAAAUAGGAAGCAACUAAAUAUUCUGAGUCUUUAGCAGGGAAGAGUGCAACCUCACUAGCAGUGACUCUGUGGUGUACUGGGGUUUCUGUUCCUCUCUAUAGGGUGAUGGAUGCCUUCCUUAUAUACCCCAACUGAGAGUACUCUUCAUGUUGCAGCCUUGCAUGGAAGAUUGUGAUCCUUAUUUUAGGUGAGAAAAUCAGAAGUUCUAGAUCAGCAGAAAUAUACCAAAAAAAUUCAUCAAUGCACUUUUAUUUUUGUGAAAGUAAAGACUAGAGUUCAAAUCCUGUCUCAGACUACUGACUGUGUGACCUUGGGCAAGCCCCUUAAACCUGUUUUCUUUAUUGUUUUAUCCAUAAAAUAGGGACUCACACUGGAGAAAGAAAUGGCCAAGAUACUUCGGUAUCUUUGCCAAGAAAAUCCCCAAUGGGAUCAUGAAGAAUCAGAGAGGAUGGAGAUGCCUGAACAACAGCACAGACUAGAAACAAGAAGCCAUUUCCUUGCCCCUCCCAACCAUGGCUGAAUGGAUUUGGAGAACGGAGAGUGAAGGUCCUUUGGAGAGUCUCUCUGGGGAGCCUCAGAUUGUUUGGCCAGGCAGAGUAACUGCCCUGCAUUGGAAUGACUCAACCAUGGGUAAGUGACCGAUUGGACCCAUUUUCCUCACAGGCAGGAAGAAGCUCCCAGACUCAGUGGUAGGGUUUGGUGGGACCAAUAGUUGUUUGGGACCGUGUGAGUUCCCCUUACUCAGAAGAUAGCUGAGCUCCAGCAUCAGUUUAGUUAGGCUUUGGAGAAGGGCAAACAGAACAGCAGCUGAGCAGAGGCAAUUAGGGAGAGAAAAGCUCCUGCAGACAUUUUGCAGUGAGAAUUCAGAGCCUAGAAUCUGGGCGUUGCAGGCUUGGCUCAAGUGCCUUGACCUUUCAUUAAAAAAAACAAACCAACAACAACCACCCAAAACUUGAUGGGUGUGGCCACUACAGAUGGAAGCUGCUGACUAUUGUCCUUUUCUGAGAUCUCUGAAAGGACAAUAAAGGCUUGGAUCCCUUCCUCCCUUCCCUUGUG